rnacentral:rRNA from 1 species
GAUAGGCAAGAUGUGUAAGCGCUGUGAGGCGUUGAGCUAACUUGUACUAAUAACUCGUGAGGCUUGAUCAUGUAACC